AAUGUAUAUAGAUUGUCUGCUUAUCUAUCUAUCCACUUAAAUCUUCAAAAAGGUAUAUAUUGUCUGCUAAAUAUCAGCAUCCUCUUCUACUGAUACCUCAAGAUGUGGAAUAGAAGCUAGCCCUGUGGUAGAUUUUACAGGUGAUUCUAAAGGCCUGUUUUGUUUUUUCUUUAAUGAACUUAUAACAAUAUAAGACCCCCAAUACUCUGUUGCUCGGAGAUCUGAGUUCUGGAAUUGAUGAUGUCAUAGUCAGUGAUGUUCCCUAUUCAGUAGAUGCCAACAGUUUUACUUUUCCUAUAUGUGAUCGAUUUGUUCUGGAGAUGAUCUGCACUUGCCCAUUAGUUCUACAAAAGCAUCUAAAUCUCUGUGAGACUGCACUGACAGAGAAUACCUAUUUCAGCCCACGUGUACAAUGUAUGCCAAGAAUUCCCCUCUUCUCCGGAGACUGAAGAGGGAUGAAUUUUUUGAUCAAGCUGGAAAGUACAUUUUAGGUGCUAUUUUUGCGGGAUGCAUUUUCUGGGCCUUAAUCUAUGGUCUGCUCAUUUGUUAUUUUAGAUGGAGAUUUGAGAAAGACGAGAGAGAAAAUACAGCCAAAAGAGACUCCGUUUGAGUAUUACCUUAUAGUUUUGCUUAAGCCCCCCACCCCAUGAUAAUUACCUGAUUAUGCUGUAAAUAAACUGUGGUAAUGUACUGCCAACAAAGGUAGUCAGAAUAUUGUUCUGAAUAGGUUCCUAAUCCAUUCUUCUUCUUUGCUCUAAUUUACCUUGCACUCUUUUCCAGAAACUAGCUCAGUACAGACGUCAAAUAAGUCUAUAUGGAUUUAACCAGAAAGGCUGCAGUAAUGUGUGUGUGAUUCCUAUCCCCAACAUUCCUCAUACUACGGCAUUUCUUCUUUCUAUGCAUUUAGAUGGAUGUGUCGAUAGAAAGUACAUUUUAAAUAUUCUCUUGUCUAAUCUAUAGUUCUUUAAGCAACAGGCUCCCACUUCGGUAAGCAAGUGGAGUACUACUUAAUAAAUCUUUAAAGUUCUAUAUGCAGAAUGCAGUGACUCCCAGGGCUAAACCCAUGUUCAAAUGAUGGGAAGCCAGGUAGAAAGACCCUUAAUUAAAUCCACAAGCACCACCCAUAUCACCCACCACCACCAUCAAAAACAGUGCCAGAGGGGCUGGGGUCCUCCUGGCCCACUAUAAUUUGAGAAUUGGGCCAAAAUACAUGUUAUAUUAAAUUCAUGGCCACAGUGAGAAAGGGACAAUAAGAGUUUAUGCUUGAGUGUGCACACAAACACAAAAAUGAUGGUCACUAUAGGAAUUAUUCAAUAUCUAUAUAUCUAUAUCUAUAUCUAUAGAUAGAUAGAGUUUAUUUCACACAAGCCUGAUAAGAGUUACAGGUAUAUUGGGAAUCAUUUACAGUUCCACAGCAUAUGGAGUGGCCAUAUAGCUUCGGAUGCAAGUAACAUACGGUGUGUAAAGCGUACACAUUUCCAAUCAACCCACCCGCCAUUCACACAAUGGAUUUUCAAAGCUAAUACUAGAUUCAGCUAUGUAGGAAAGCCUCAAGAAUGCUAGGAUACAGCGUUGGGUGUCGUACAACACUGUAGGUCACAAUGGGACAAGCUAAACUACUUUAAUUUUCAAUCUAGUAUUUCUAGUCUACCUGCAUUAUUGCAUUUAUACGCAUUUUAAAGUUCAAAGAAAAGAGAAUACUAUAUGGGAAAGGAAAAAUUCUUUGCUGUUUUAGGAGUUGAGUUGCAGCCCAUACAAAGUGUCCAUAGAAGCAUAGGUAAGAUUAUAAAUUCAAAAAGGUACAAAUUAGUUUUAUAGCUUUGUGUGUCAGUUGGUUUCCAUUUCCCUUUGGGAAAUGUAAUCUCCAACAGUUGACUCCAAAAUGGGGAAAAACAAAAACAAACCCAAAUUUGUAUGUUAAACAGAGGCCAAUAUGUGUUAUGUGGUAAGUGGGUCUAUUCACCAAGUGAAGCAAUCAAGUGGUUAAUUGACAAAUUCCAGUUAAAAAUAAUCUUGGGGCCCAUUGUUAAUGAUGAAGCCUUUCAAAACUAAUUUAUUAUUUUUAUAAUGUCCUUUUCUAUGGAGUUCAUCUCUUACACUUUUGUUUUGUUCAGAUGGACCCUAAAGCAGAUAGUGAAUGUUCAGAUUGAAUAAACUAGCAUUUCCCAUUUGAAAGUAUUACUCUGCAAAAACCUCCAUGCAUUUCCCUUAACCAGUGAUUUAGGAAAAGGCAUAAGAAUUAAAAGAGGGGUGAGAGCUUACCCCAAGUAUAUUUAUGAAAAUAGAUCUAUUACAAAAAAGAUACUGAGGCAAUCUUACACUCUCCUUGCUCUCUUAAGAUAAUUUUGGAGACUUGUUAAAACUACAAUGGUAGAAACUAGCAAAUGAUAGGAUUGGUUGCAAUUGACAAAAUUUAAAUUAAUUUCUCACAUUUUGGCAUUGUAAUGAAUAUUACUCAUGCAUCCCACACAAUUAUCUAUAAUUUAGAUUGUUAUAUCUAAUGUCAUCCUGCUGCUUCAGAUCAAGGAAUGGCCCUCAGUUUUUUGGGAGUGUUCUGGGAAGCUGUAGCAGGAUAUAUAUAUUUUCAUAUGAGAGUUUGCAUCUCUUUCACACUUUUUGUGUCACAUAUGAAUGCUAUUCAGGUGGGAGAAGAAUCAAAUGUUUAUCUCAGCAAAUGCAGGAGGGAAAGGGUGGGGGAUAACAUGUAUAUUUCAGCAAAUGCAGGUGUUACAUUCACAUUAAGAGCAGAUUGAGACCUCCCAUUUAAAAUAAUCUUAAAUUAAAACGAAGCCUAUCUAGGGAAGUUCCAUGGUGUGGAAGUAAAUGUACAUGGGAUCAUUGCGUAACUUAGCUGAGGUAUCAGGAAGGAACAAAUGGCCCAACUCCAUGCAAUGGGGUGGGAACUGGUUGACAUUUCCUAUGGGAUGAGUGACUGUGGGUGAGAAAGACAGUAGCACUGAAAGAUGAAUGAGAUAGGACUUGGGAUAAGUGAUGCAAACAACAGCUUGCUUGCUUUGAGAGAUGUAUCAAUUUACAAAAACAGUUGUUUCAGGCUCAAAAUACACAUUAAUCAUGUGUAAUUGCCACACUGUAUUACUGAAAGCAGCCACCCAGGCAGCAAUCUUCAACAGGAAACCAGCAUGGGAUGGAUGUAAGGCCAUCUUAAUCCUCCCCAUUAGUUUUCUACUUCCAAGUUCUGCCCCUCCCUCCCAGGCCUGUAAAAGUAAAGUGUGCCAUCAAGUUGAUUUCAACUCCUGCUGCCCGCAGAGCCCUGUGAUUUUAUUUUGGUAAAAU